rnacentral:rRNA from 1 species
CAGUAGGGGUUCUGAGAGGAAGGUCCCCCACAUUGGAACUGAGACACGGUCCAAACUCCUACGGGAGGCAGCAGUGAGGAAUAUUGGUCAAUGGACGAGAGUCUGAACCAGCCAAGUAGCGUGCAGGAAGACGGCCCUAUGGGUUGUAAACUGCUUUUAUAAGGGAAUAAAGUGAGAGUCGUGACUCUUUUUGCAUGUACCUUAUGAAUAAGGACCGGCUAAUUCCGUGCCAGCAGCCGCGGUAAUACGGAAGGUCCGGGCGUUAUCCGGAUUUAUUGGGUUUAAAGGGAGCGUAGGCCGGAGAUUAAGCGUGUUGUGAAAUGUAGACGCUCAACGUCUGCACUGCAGCGCGAACUGGUUUCCUUGAGUACGCACAAAGUGGGCGGAAUUCGUGGUGUAGCGGUGAAAUGCUUAGAUAUCACGAAGAACUCCGAUUGCGAAGGCAGCUCACUGGAGCGCAACUGACGCUGAAGCUCGAAAGUGCGGGUAUCGAACAGGAUUAGAUACCCUGGUAGUCCGCACGGUAAACGAUGGAUGCCCGCUGUUGGUCUGAAUAGGUCAGCGGCCAAGCGAAAGCAUUAAGCAUCCCACCUGGGGAGUACGCCGGCAACGGUGAAACUCAAAGGAAUUGACGGGGGCCCGCACAAGCGGAGGAACAUGUGGUUUAAUUCGAUGAUACGCGAGGAACCUUACCCGGGCUUGAAUUGCAGAGGAAGGAUUUGGAGACAAUGACGCCCUUCGGGGCCUCUGUGAAGGUGCUGCAUGGUUGUCGUCAGCUCGUGCCGUGAGGUGUCGGCUUAAGUGCCAUAACGAGCGCAACCCCUCUCCUUAGUUGCCAUCAGGUUAAGCUGGGCACUCUGGGGACACUGCCACCGUAAGGUGUGAGGAAGGUGGGGAUGACGUCAAAUCAGCACGGCCCUUACGUCCGGGGCUACACACGUGUUACAGUGGCAGGUACAGAGAGACGGUCCCUUGCAAAACGGAUCAAAUCCUUAAAGCCUGUCUCAGUUCGGACUGGGGUCUGCAACCCGACCCCACGAAGCUGGAUUCGCUAGUAAUCGCGCAUCAGCCAUGGCGCGGUGAAUACGUUCCCGGGCCUUGUACACACCGCCCGUCAAGCCAUGAAAGCCGGGGGCGCCUAAAGUCCGUGACCGUAAGGAGCGGCCUAGGGCGAAACUGGUAAUUGGGGCUAAGUCGUAACAAGGUA